GUGGGUGGAAGCUCAUCGUAGAGGUCACAUGCAGAGUGCUAGUCACUUAAUGAAUCACCUUGGGGAAGGUCUGAGACAGGAGCCAAUGACUGCCCUAGCAGGGCAUCACCCUCUCUGGGUGAAUGAGUGCACAGAGAAUAUUGGCUGUUGUGAGCUGUCUUCACAGGAGAAGAGUGCUAAUCACUUAACCAACCACCUUGGGGAAGGUCUGAGACAGGAGCCAAUGACUGCCUCUAGCAGGGCAUCACCCUCUCUGGGUGAAUGCGUGCACAGAGAAUAUUGGCUGUUGUGAGCUGUCUUCACAGGAGAAACCAGCCAGUGUAGCUCUCCAGCACUUCUGGUGGAUGUGCACAGAGAAUAUUGGCUGUCUUGAGCUGUCUUCACAGGAGAAACCAGCCAGUGUAGCUCUCCAGCACUUCUGGUGGAUGUGCACAGAGAAUAUUGGCUGUUGUGAGCUGUCUUCACAGGAGAAACCAGCCAGUGUAGCUCUACAGCACUUCUGGUGGAUGUGACUUCACUGGUUUGGAAUCACUCAUGGCUGGCAAAUGAGUGCAAUGUGUGAGUUGGAGUAUACCUCCAGAACCCAAUUCAGACUACUCUCUGCCCAC
rnacentral:RNase_P_RNA from 1 species